CAGAGCUCAAUAAGAGCCAAAAUUAACCACUGAAGCAAAGCUCUGCACGAGCCUCCUCACAUUUUAGUAUUCAUCCUGCAUUCCCAGAUCUAUGACUCUUCCCUGCUACUGCAGUGGAUGCUGCUGGCUGCCAUGGCAGCAAACAUCCUGGUGAUUUAAACCGGAGACAUAGAAGCCUCUGUCUAGUUUAAAAUGCCACAGGUUUCAAGACACCGCUUCACCUGACUGGGCCGCUACAAUAUUAGCCCUAGCUCGCACUGAAAUACUAUUUUUCUCCCUGGAAGCUCUUCUCUGAAGGGGGAGGUGAAAGGGCUUGAGGGUACCCCACAGGAAGGAAGUCCCAAGUGCGCCUUCCUGGGUUCUCAAGAGGGUUUUGCACUUGGGUGGUGGCAACAUCUACCAAUCCAAGGUCAGAGAGAAGCUGUAACCUUGGGAAUUUAAUACAGCCUAGAGUGAAGCAGACACUCCAUUAAGACGGAUACUCUGACUAAAAUCCCUCCAAAGGAUAUAGCAUCCAGGGGAGGGAAGAAGGAAAAAGAUCAGCUGACUUAGCCCAUAUGAGCCAACUCACUGCAAUCCUCUAGCAUUGUCGUGUUUAGAUUUUUGAUAUGUGUUAUGUACUCAGGGUCGACAUGUCCUAAUCAAAGCUAUCAUAAAGUAAACUCUAACUCGGGCAGAAUGACUUUGUGGGUGAAACUCUGGCUCUACUGAAGUCAAUGGCAAAACUCCCAUUGGCUUCAACAGGGUCAGAAUUUCGCCUCAUGUGAAUUCUUCCUUACGGGAUACACCCCUACUUAUUUAUAAGUUACAAAUGAACCUCAAAAAGGGUCCAAGAACUGUCAAGGUGUGUGUAAAGGUUUGGGCCAGAUCUGAGUUUGGGUCCAUUCUUGGUUGCAUUGGAGCAGGAUUGGGCACUUGAAUCUGUAAAUUUAUGUCCAUCCCUGAUAGUAACUCAAUUGGAAACCAUGUUAAUUAUACAGUAACUGAAGUUUCAAUUAAUACCAAUUCCUGAUAACAUGUGUCAAUGUGUGUAAACUGUGUAAAUAACCCUGUGUAAUGUAUUCAAACUCAUACAGCAUAUAUUGAGUCAUGCUGAAGAGAACUAUGCACUACUAGUGGUCUGAGCACAGGCCUGACAGUCCGCAGCUCCUGAGUUCUGAUGCCUCCUCACACAAUCACUUCCUUGUGCAAGCAAUUUAACUUCUCUGCCUCAGCUUACUUAUCUGUAAUAUAUUCAUAUUUACCAUACAGGAAGGUUAUCAGAAUGGUCACUUAAUAUUAUGAAAGCACUAUACACUGGUAUUACUCGGGCUGCUAGCAUUAAUUUGUCUCGUUGUAUAGUGCCCAUGGCAAAGACCAUACAUUAAAAAUAGAGCUUUCAGUUCCCUGUGCUGUGCUGUGCUGCUGUGGAAAAACAACUUUUCAAGUUACUUUAGUAGCAAGUGCUAAAUAUUAUUAUUUAGUAGUAGUAGUACUAUUAGAAAGAAAGUUUGUUUCAUACAUAUUUUCUAUACAUUCAUGCCAGACAAGUUCUUAGAUAUGAAAAUGUUUCUAUUUAAACUGGUCACAGAAACAUUAAACAAUAUACACAUCACAAUAAUUAACUUUAAAACCAGUUUGGUGCAGUUUUUUUCUCUUUAGGCAAAGGAACUGAUAUGGUGGAUUCUGAUACACUUUUCUGUUUGUCCUUUUAGGAUCCUAGAUGAAAUAUUUUACUAUCCCAGCACUCACUAUAGUUGUUUUUCCUCAUUAACUUCUGCUUUCAUAUAUAUGUCUGUAAAAUAAACUUGAUUUGUCUUAUGUUUUCAUAUAAAAUCAAUGUAUUCAGAUCUUUGCUGCUGUUAUCUGAAGUAAGAAAAAAGAGCAGAGACAGAAAAUUUAAAAUAUAGUACUCGGUAUUUAUGCAACAUUACAUUUUCUAUAUCCUGUAAAAUGAAUCGAAUGAUUAUAUACAAACAAAGCAGCCCUUAUUCUCUUUCAAGUGAUGACUUCACUAAAAAUCUCAUCAAGGUUCUUAUUCUGUGCAGGAAAGAAAUGGGAAAGUAAAGAAAUCCAUCACAGAAAAAGCCACAUAAAUGUGCAUUGCAAGGCAAGCCUUAGCAGUCCAAAGACAGUUUGCAAGCAAUGAGCUGAGAAAAACUAGCAUCUACAACUAUGGAAAAAAGUUUCCCACCUUUAAUCAUUCAUUCCUCCAUAUGCUGUUGUUUCAACUGCAAACUUAUGUCAAAAUCAUGUUUCAUUUCUAAAACCUAAACUAUUGUACAUACCUUCAUUCAAGCAGCCACACCUCCUACUUCAUAAGUCCACUAUAGUAUUUGUGAACUAUAUAUUGUCUGCUCAGUACAUAUCCUGUACGCUUUAUGGAUGUAAUCUGCAUGUCUUGCCAUAAGCAAGCUGAUGAUAAAAUAAAAUCAACUACAGAGCUAUCCAAAAUACUUGUCCCUAAUAGUAAAAAUAAUGAAAUAACUAUCAAAAGGAUGGAUUUAUAUCUUCAGAUGCUGCUAGGGGCAAAGCAUGUUCAUCAGAAUUUUGCAGAAAAAAUCUGGAUAGUUGCCUGUUGCUUAGAUGAAGAACAUUCACUGCAUAUUUGUUCCUCCCACAGACCCCAAGGAUGCAAAUGGGUAUUAUGCAUAUUGUAUCAUUUUCGACUAUAUUCUAACCCAGAGAUAUGAAUAGAAUGCCGUUCAUUACACAGAGAAGAAAGGGGCCUGGAGUAGUUACACAACUCAGAAUACUGAAUUUUCAGAUUCUUCUUGUUGCAAUAAAGAAUAAAGAGGGACAUUUUCUAGAAAAACUGCUCCACAUGCCAGGGAGGAGAUCAAGAAGUGAUGGGGAUGAAGAGGAGAACAUAAGCAAUUAAAUCAGUAGAUAGAAUAGCAGCUUGUAAUUAAAGAUGAAGCAAAAUAUGAAACUUGAAUCCUAACCCCUUCAAAAUUUUCAGAAAAUGGGUUUAAACUUCAAUCUCCAGGUCCGAACUCACCUCUCAGUUUAUGGUUCUGGUCUGGUUAUGCAACCCAAAGAUUUUGGUUCUAAAUCCCAUACAAACUGCUGACUCCGCAGAGCAUCUGAUCCAAAGCACACUGAAGUCAAUGGGAUUUGGAUCAGGCUCAGUAUUUCCCCCAUGAAACAUCAAGUCACCUUUUAUUUCACAGCGAAUCUCAUGAGAUUUUCACCAAUGAGGGUAAAAAUAUUGCAAUAACUGUUCACAAGAUUUCAGUGCUGACUAGUCCAAACCCACAUUUUAGCCCUGAUUCAGCUAUGAACCUGAACCUAAUCUCAACACCACCUUCCUGGCCCAUCUUUAAUUAUCAUUUUUGUGUUACACAUGGGAUUGUUUCUUUUCUGCUUUCAGACUUUGUGUGUUGUCUAUAAACAGUCACUGGUGGCUUUUCAGC